AUUGAACGCUGGCGGCAGGCCUAACACAUGCCAGUCGAGCGGCAGCGGAAAGUAGCUUGCUACUUUGCCGGCGAGCGGCGGACGGGUGAGUAAUGUCUGGGAAACUGCCUGAUGGAGGGGGAUAACUACUGGAAACGGUAGCUAAUACCGCAUAACGUCGCAAGACCAAAGAGGGGGACCUUCGGGCCUCUUGCCAUCAGAUGUGCCCAGAUGGGAUUAGCUAGUAGGUGGGGUAACGGCUCACCUAGGCGACGAUCCCUAGCUGGUCUGAGAGGAUGACCAGCCACACUGGAACUGAGACACGGUCCAGACUCCUACGGGAGGCAGCAGUGGGGAAUAUUGCACAAUGGGCGCAAGCCUGAUGCAGCCAUGCCGCGUGUAUGAAGAAGGCCUUCGGGUUGUAAAGUACUUUCAGCGGGGAGGAAGGUGUUGAGGUUAAUAACCUCAGCAAUUGACGUUACCCGCAGAAGAAGCACCGGCUAACUCCGUG
rnacentral:rRNA from 1 species